rnacentral:ribozyme from 1 species
UUUUUUUUUUUUUUUUUUUUUUUUUUUUUUUUUUUUUCG